UACGUAGGGGGCUAGCGUUGUCCGGAAUCAUUGGGCGUAAAGAGCGCGUAGGCGGCCAGAUAAGUCCGGUGUGAAAGUCAAAGGCUCAACCUUUGAAUGCCGCUGGAAACUGUCUGGCUAGAGUCCGGGAGGGGCGAGUGGAAUUCCUGGUGUAGCGGUGAAAUGCGUAGAUAUCAGGAAGAACACCCGUGGCGAAGGCGGCUCUCUGGGACGGUACUGACGCUGAGACGCGAAAGCGUGGGGAGCGAACAGG
rnacentral:rRNA from 1 species